ACCUAAAGCGCAUCUAAGUGAAAUCAAAUCUAAACUUGAAUGACAACCAAGGUCACAAUGAGGAGUCAAAUCAAAGUCUCCAAGUGGUUUAGAAAAGAUAAGCUACAUGAGUAGUAAUGGGUCACCAAGGAAUUACUGUAAAGUACCGAACAAACACCUAACAGACAAAAUGGAGGGUCUACACUAAUGCAUCUAUUUUCCUUAUUCAUUAUUUAUAUAGAUGGUUAGGUGAGGUGAAUAUUUCGAUACCCAUUUCAUUUAUUUAUUUAUGAAAAUUUAAAAUAAAAAUAAAUUUAUAAAUUUUGUUGAAAUUACAUAUGGAUUAAAAAAUAUUUUUUAUUUAUUGUUUUGAUAUUUUACUUAUUUAUCAAUAAGUUUAUCUUUUUAAUAUUUUAAAAUUAUAAGAUUUAAUAUAUAUAUAUAAAGUAUAUAAAUAUAAUUAAAAGUAAAGGUGGGAGAAUCUAUUUAAUUUGAUUCAUGUGAUACAUAUGAAAAAAUUAAUGUGAUAAAUAUAUUUAUUACUCAUCCAUAAAGCAAAAGUAAAAUUCUAACUUUAUUACUUAAACUUUUACAAAAAUUGAUAAUUUAAUAUAAUGUCAAAACUUGGUUUGAUCGGAGUUUAUGGGUUUGAGACAUCUCUAUGUAAUUUAUAUGUUUGUUUCUCCAAUUUGUAAUUUUAUGAUACCUUUCCAUGUGUGGAUGCAAAUAUAGGAUUGCAUGCCCUCAUGUGAGAUUAGUAGUUCAACAAUAUGAUUAUAUUUGAUUUUUUAUUUUAUUAUAACAAACAAAAAGGUUCAAAGAAAUUAAUUUAAGUAUUUUGUUUUUUAAUUGUUUGAAUUAAAUUUAUAUAAUUUAUUAUCUAUAUUGAUUUCAAAUAUUGAAUGAUCUACACGUCUCAAGAACAAUAUGGUCGUAAAUUACUAAUGUUUUGCUUUUAUCUGCAUGGUGCUUUCAUCUCUCUGAUUCACUCACAUGAUUCCAUCCAUUUAGUAGGCGAAACUCAUCAUUGUUUUGGUUUCCUCCUUCUACAGGAUGAUCCUUCCACAGAAGAAAAUCUAAAGCGCACAAUCUCUCGAACUCCUAUUUGCCGCAUGGGAGAGCUUGAUGAGGUUUCAUCAUUGGUGGCAUUCAUUUGCUUCCCUACUGCUUCAUAUAUCACAGGACAAGUGAUAUGUGUUGAUGGUGGAUAUUUAGUGACUGGCUUCUAGUUCUACCCUACAUGCUCAAAACUAUAAUUGAAUAAAGUCUCCAGAAAGAUAUUUGGAGCCAGUUGUUGCUAUUGCAAUC
rnacentral:lncRNA from 1 species